rnacentral:lncRNA from 1 species
UUUUAUAUUUUAUUUUAUUUUUAAAGAUUUAUUUAUUUAUUUGACAGAGCAGAAAAGAGAGAGAGAAAAAGCAAGGGGAGGAUGAGAGCAAGAGAGAGAAUCUCAAGGAGACUCCACACUGAACAAGCAGCCUGAUGAGGAGCUCAAUCCCAUGACCUUGAGAUCAUGACCUAAGCUAAAAUCAAGAGCUUAACUCACUGAGCCACCCAGGUGCCUUGAGAAGGCUCUAUUUUAGGUAAGAGAGUCAGAGUAAUUAAAUUCAAAGAGUUUGGAAGAAGUAGUCUAGACAGAGGGCACAGCAAUUGUCCACCAUUUGUCCACAAUUGUCCACAGCAAUUGUCCACCAUUACAGCUGGCCUGCACUCCUGUAAACUCUCAUCAAGCUCCUACUCUUUACAAAAGUGAACAAGACAAAUCCUCUGCCUUCAAAGUUCCCACAUAUAGUGGGGAGCACUACUGACCCAGUAACACAGCAAGUGCACACCUAAACUCCCACACAAACACCAAUGGGAAGAGUCCAUGACAAUUUCUAAAAAAAUAUCUUUGGACUUGGGUGUGGACUUGAUUGAAAAGUUGGAUUUGCUGCAAGAGAAACAACAUUCUGGGCAUAGGACAUAAAAUGUGCAGGGAAUAUGAAAAUGUAUGACAAGUGUCUGAACCACAUUUGUACUGUGUAGAAAUCACCCAUAACAUUUCAGCACUUAAUUGUAUGGAUUUGUUUCAUGUUUUCCUCCACUGUUAGAACGUUCAUUCAUUGGCCACAGGAAACUUAGUCUCUUUGAAUUUGAAUCUUGAGCUUCUUGCACAAGGCCUAGCACAAGGAGUCAGUUAAUAUCGUUGAAUGAAUGGGAUGAGUAGAAAGACAGGUUAAUGACAGUCUGUGAAGGUUGGAAUGGCCCAGGCUACAGAGUUGGACAUCUUUCUGUAGGUAUGGGGUCCAUUAAAGGCUUUACAAUUCACAAGAAACCUUAAGGAUGGCAAAAAUGAACUUAACCUGCCCCUGAACCCAGAAGCCUUCCCAUAUAAAGCCUAUACUGGUAGAGCUGACAGCUGCUGCUGAUGUUGUUUCAAUGAAGAUGUGGCUUUUUGUUUCCUUCACUGAAGAGACAUAUAUUAAUUAUAGUGCUUUUUAAGACAUGAAACAUGGUUUUAAAAGCUUGAUAAUCACUUCUGCUUAAAGGUUUCCUGCUGUGAUUGUCAAAUAUAAGUCUUCACCCAUUCCUUGUUACCCACACCCUGCCAUUACCUCGUUUCCACACUGAAUCAGUCAAUACAUAUGUAUCUAUUGUCUUCUUCCUCUGUGCACAGCAAGGAGCAUCAUGUGAGAUCACAUAUUCUUUAUACAUCAGGAUCAUAAAGUAGCCUUUGAAAAGGGCAAAAAAGUUUAUGGCAUUGUGUCCCUACUAUACUUUAUUAUCUAGUCCAACUCUUUCCCAAUUCAUCUUAAAAAUCUAGCUCAAUCCAGGUACCUAGGCUGGCUUCUAAAUGAACUCAGAUAGUAACUCUGGUUUCCUGACUUCAGGUCAUCAGGGGACCACAGUUUGUCCUUCUUGGACAUUUCCAAGGAUGCCUAACACAAGUAUUCAAACACUUCCAAGACUCAAUGGAUUCUCUCAGAUUAAUUAACCCAUUCUAUACCCCACUCUCAUUUCUAUCUGUGUACCCAAGUACCUCUCCAAUCUUUACUCCCUUUUUAGGCUUCAGUCAUAUGUCAGGGCAAUAUGUUCAUGGAAGCUUGAAAGCCACCUAGAGGGCUGGCCCCCUACAGUGUAGCUCUGUUCACUAGCAGGAACUUUGGCAUUGCCACAGAAAUAACACAGAUGUGGCCACACAUCUUCAAGCACACAAGACAGUAAGAUUAGAUAAGCGUCUUAAUAUUAACAAAAAUGGAGCAGAGACAGUGGAAGCCCAACUGAUGAAAUAGAUUCAUUCUUUUAAAAGAUCCAUCCCACCUACAGAAAAGAAUAAAUUCAGAUCCAAAGUGGACACUCUAAGUUGCCAAUCUCACUCACCCUGAGAAACCCAAAGCACUCCAUUUUGUUGGAAUUGAAAAAUUUUAAUCAUAUAUGGAUUUGGGGUUGUCAUGCAAUAUGAGGUUGUCUGACCUAGAAAAAGAAAGUUAGAAGAGGUAACUUAAACACUCUCUUUAAUAGUCUAAUGGGUUAUCAUGAGGAAGAUAACAAAAAGUAGUUGUCCAGCUCAAAGUUGUUGAACCAAAAAUGAAAUCAUCAGAAAAAGCAUGAGACUUCAACAAAUAUGGCAAAUGUCCCCUACACUAUGCUAUUUUUAAUCCACAUUACUUGCUAAUGAUCUAAUAUCACCUCAUUUUAUAAAAUACUAGUUUGAAAAUCAAAAAGUUAAGUCACAUAAAAGAGACAUCACUAUACACAGAGAAACCAGAAACCCAUCAAGAGAGAAGGAAAUAAUUGCUCUCUAAAGGAAGGGGACCCACGGGAAAGAACUAUAUAUUCUAAGUAAACUAACAAAUGAAGAACUUCUUCAGCAGUUCUAUAGCUUUCCAUUUACUACGCACAGUCAUUUACUUAAGCAGAAUGCAUUUAUCUCUCCAAGACAGAAAACCAUAAUUUAAUUAGAGUUAAAAUGAAGAAUUUAAAGAUUCGCUACAUUAUUAGAUCCUUUUGAAAGAGUUAAACGUUUCCAUGCUCAGAUCUCCUCUUUUCCUGUGCUUCAAGAUAAGUGUUGGGAGAUUUAUGUGCCAUGAAUUUCCAAUUACCCAUCUCCACCAGCUGGGCUGUCAAUCACCACUUGUCUUAUCCUGGAUGUCUUCACCACCCCCAUUUCCUUGUUGUGCACACAAAAACAAGCUUAUUCUUCCAAAAAGAGCUUACCACCAGGCAGGCAUAUGCUCAUUUUUUUAUGUCCAGCUUUUGCUGGACAGAAUUUCUAACUCAAAUUACUGCCAUCCCAUCGUCCCAACAUAUUCAAAUAAAGCAAGUGUUGCCACAGAUUGUGAACAAUUUAAGAUUUCAAAAGAAAAUUUACAUCAUGCAUCUUUCCAGAGUCCACUGAAGCAGAAUUGAUGAGCUCUCAAGAGCAAUCCACCUCCCUCCUUUGACAUCUGGAAGCAGGUGGAAGAAUUCUAAAUGAUAACUACACUCAAACACCAGGAGAACACAGAAAACAGUAUGUUUGCAAAUGCACGCUUAUAUACCAGUUGUGAUAUUGGAAGGAAAAAAAUAAUGGUAGACACUCUCUACUGCUCUUGGCUAUGUUUUUUUUUUCUCCCCAGAGAACGGACAUUUAAAAAGUAACAUAUCAAAGACUCCUAAAAAGAAUCUAAGAGGUCUCAUAGUCAGUAUUGACAUUAAAUAUCUAAAGAAUAAAUGACGAUUGUUAUUCAUUGGUCAGGAUUGUAGUGAUGAGUCUUGAAGGUACACAUUCAUUUCUUGUGAUUGUGUCCAAAGCAUAUACCUCUUUAGUUGACAAACACGGAGUACUUACUAUGUAAAAGGUUCUAUAUUAGAUGUUAAGGGGGGUAAAAAAUAAUACAAAGCCUCUCCUGUACAAAGUUUAUAGAAAUAUGUACAUAAAGACUUUCAAUAAAAGAAAAAACUAUCAUCAAAAUGUCAGCAAAACAUUAUGAGAAUUCAGAGGAGGCAAAAUCUUGCAUCUGAAUGAAGGACAGGAAUUCAAGGAGAGCUUCUUGGAGGAGGAUUUAUCACUGAUGAACUACAUCCAGUCAACUACUAUGCCAAUGCUGUGGACCAUCUAGCAUUUGGUUGCUCCUUAUACUUUGCUUCUCUUGUUUCUAGAGAAUAGGGUAGAAGCAAGAAAACUAGAAUCAAUCUCCAAUUUUGUUGUCACUUUGAAGUCUAGGUAAUUGUGAUGCAUAUAGAGUCUUUAAUUACUAAACAAACAAACAAACAAAAAAACUAGGGGUAACAAUACUCACAGCUCUGGGUCAAAGAGUGAACUAAAUACUUAGCACAGGAAACGCAUUCAAAUUCAGAAAAGAAGUCAGUCUUUCUUUUCAGGUUCUGAGCCUGGAAAAUGCUAUGACAUUGGGACUGCCACUACUCAGGGCAACAUGUGCAACGGAGCCAUUCCUUCAUGCACCAUCCUAACAAACAGGGAGGUCAGUGACAAGAUGGAAAACUUCUGAGAUCACCUCCAUUUCAUUCUGAGUUUUGAAAUAUCCAUUAAAUAUUUCAUCCAUUUACUUCACUGAUUGUUGAAGGUCUAUGAAACACAUGGGCUAUGACAUUUGGACCAGACAUGCACUCAGCCACUAGCAGGUUCUUGAACUUGCUUUCCACUCCUAGGUCGUAAGAUAGAUUAUAGUCCCCAGCAUUCCUAGUGCUGUGGUGAUACUCAUGGUCCAAGAGCUAUGGUUGACCUUCAUGCUAGAUAUUUAACUACCAUGAUAAUCAAUGUUUAGUGGACCCUCCCUAUGGGUACAAAAUGCUAUGGGUACAGUCUAAUUUAACCAUUAUAUAAUCCUUAAACACAUGUAUUAUUCCACCAUUUUUAGGGGUAGAAACCAAGCCAGAAUAACAUUAAGUAAGUUGCUAAGGCCACACACUUGAUAAGUAUAAAAGUCAGGAUUUUAAUCAACUUCAUUCCAAAUCCAAAGCCUAUGGUCUUAACCACAUGCUCUUAGCCACAACUCUCUACUAUUUCCCAAAGACUACAUGGGAAUUAGAGAUGGUAUUAUGACUUUUUGAUUCAAAGGACACUUUCAAAUUGUGGGUGUAGAACCAGACAAAAAUAUCUCAACUAUACUUCUGCACUAUAAGUUUGUCCCUGACGACUGAACCAGGAGAAAGUACUAACGUGGCCUCCUCCUUCCCUUCCACUCCUUCUUUCCUAUCCCCACUAUUUGGGUUCUUUAAAUUAUCUAAAGUGAUUCUAAUGUGUAUCCAAGAUAGUAAUUACUGGGUUAAAAGAAAAAAAGUCAAGGGUUUGAGGCCCCUUCAUUACAGUCAGCAUAACACCUGGCUUCCUCUGAUGCUUUUGUGGAACUCAUUAAUAUAUAUCCCUGCUGACAAUGGAUUGGUCUCUUAAGAGAACAACUUUCCAUCUGUAAUCGAAACUUUAAACAGUAAGGAGGGAAAAAGAAUAGAGGUAAAACUUUUCAGAAAACUGAAAUGUAUUUCUAACCAAAACUUCAACAUAAAAUAACUGAUCAUAAUGGGAGGCUUCUUUUUCCAACAGAGAGGAGGUAUUUUCUUGACUUCACAUCUUGAAUUCAGUGAAAGAACUGUUUUUAGAUAUUCCUCAGCACAGGACAGCAAACAUGCAACACUACUGCCCACUGCUGAACUCUCUGCCCCAGCCCACAGUGGCCCCACUAAUCCAGCACAACCUCCUGGCCAAGCCUGAAUGCAGCCUUAGAAACUCCUAACAUAGGUGCUCCUCACAGCCGCGGAACCAAGUUUGUGUAUGAAUUGAACAGUAUUUUCCAUCCCUGUGCAAGCCUACACACAUCUCCAGGUAAAGAAUUUUAUAACCCUGCCUCAUACCCACUAGUUUCACCUAGUAGAGUUUAUGCCAAGUAGUAAAUGCUCAGUAAACGUGAGUUGAAUGAAUAAAUGAAACAGCAACAUGGGAAAUGCAUUUUACAGAAAAUCUCCAGUUCUCUGAAUGUUCUUUUCUCUGCAAACUGAGAUUUCAGGUUUGCUUCUAACAAGGUGAUCAGAAAGACCUUGAGAGAAGAAAUCAGGCCUAUGGCCACUGAAAAAAGCAAGCAAAAUACACUAUGAGAGAUCAAUAGGGAUUGAUAGAGAUUAUGCAAACUCUACUAAAUAUUUAAACUUAGAAGAAAGAAACAGACAGGAGUACAUGUCUGGAAUUAUCAUCAUGAUCACCACCUGACUCCAGGCUCUGCAUUUUAUUUGUUUAUAUUCCAUUUUCCCAAAACUGAGGGGUAGGGGAUAAGGUAGAGGAUUUGUAUGACUUAAAAAACUUCAUAUAAUCCAGCAAGAUGAUAUGAAAUAGGACAAAAUAAGAAAGAAGAGGCAAAAUUAAACUAAGUUCUACUUCUUUGUGCUAGAAGAAGACAGCAACAUAGAAUCAGCCCUUGAUUGCUAUAACUUCUUCUGCCUGAGAUCUAGUCAUAUCUCAAAGUGUAAUUCUCAUGCUACUUCCCAAUGAAUGCUCCACCUAAUGUAUAUUCUUAUGGAGGUUCACAAUUAAUUCCACGAUAGUGGAUAUGGAAAUCGCUUAUGGAUACCAUAUCAUCAAAUUUUCUCCUUACAACCCCUUAGCACAACAGCAGUAAGUACCUAAUAUUUGUUCAACAAGUGUCAUGGACUGAAUGUUGUAUUUCCUCAAAUUCAUACCCUGGGUGUGGCCAUAUUUAGAGAUGGAGCCUGUAAGGAAGUCAUUAACAUUAAAUGAGAUCUACUGAUCCAGUAGAAUUAGUGCUCUCUUAUAAGAAGGGACACUAGAGAACUCACAACUCUUUCUGCUCAGCCCUCUAUCCCCUCCAUGUAUACUCAUCAAGGAAAGGCUAUGUGAGAACAAAAGGAGAGGUAGCCAUCUGCAAGGAAGGAAAUGGCUCUCACCAGAAACUGAUUUACCUCAAACCUUCAUCUUGACUUCUAGCCACCAGACCUGUGAGAAAAUUAAUUUCUGUUGUCUAUCGUAUUCUGUUGUGAUGGCAAAGCUUAAGACAGCAAGAAAUUGAUGAAGUUAAUAAUGUGGUAGAAAACCACUUCAUUGGAAAUCUGGAUCUCCAUCCAACUAUGUACCUGGAGGUAAGUGUAUUAUAGCCCAGUACCUCAUUUCCUCCUCCUUAACAUGGACAAGAGAGAACAUCCUUUACUCUAGUGACACUACAAGAAUCAGAGACCCUCUGAAGGAUUAAACAGCUAAGAAUGCAGGGCUGUGUGGCAUUAUUGCUAUAAACACUGCUAGAAUCCUUUCCCAUGUGUGGUCUCCAGGGGCCAUGACCACCUGAAUGGCUCCCAAUCCUCUUCUUGAGGCCUCUAUCUCUACCCUCACAGACAUUUUUUUUCCAAGAAGAAAUAUAAGUGGUUUUAACAAGGUUCCUCAUUUUUCCACAUUUUAUUGAGAAAUAUUUGACAUAUCACUUUAUAAAUGUAAGACACAUACCAUGAAGAUUUGAUUUACAUUUAUUGUGAAACUAUAACAAGAGGUUCAAGUAACAUCCAUCCUCUCACCUAUAAAAAAUUAAAUAAAAAGAAAUAUAAUAAAGAAAUACAUACAAGAAAUAAAAAUAAAAGUAAGAAGAAAAAAAAAAUAGAAAGACAUGUUUUCCUGUGAUAAGAACUCACAGGAUUUACUCUCUUAACAACUUCCCUAUAUAUAGCUUACAGCCGUGUUAACUAUAGUCAUCAUGUUGUUCAUUACAUCUCUUGCAUUUAUUUAUUAUAUAAGUAGAAUUUUGUACCUUUCAACCACCUCCCUCCAAAUCUCCUUCCUCCCACUCCCCACCCCUGGUUAGUAGCCAGUCUGAUCUUUUUUUCUAAUGAGUUUGGUCUUUUUCUUUUUUAGAUUCUACAUAUAAGUAAGAUCAUACAGUAUUGUCUUUGUAUGACUUAUUUCACUUAGCAUAAUGCCUUUGGGGUCUAUCUAUAUUACCACAAAGGGUAGAUUUCCUUUUUUAUGGCUGAAUAGUGUUCCUCUGUGUGUGUGUGUGUGUGUGUGUGUGUGUGCGAGCAUGCAUGUGUUUCACUCUGUUGAUGGUUUCCUUUGUUGUGCAGAAGUUUAUUAGUUUGAUGUAGUCCCAUGUGCAUACUUCUUAUUUUGUUGCUUGUGCUUUAGGUGUCAUAUCCAAAAAAAAAAAAAAUUAUCAAGACCUAUGUCAAGCUUAUUCCUUGACAUUCUUCUAAAAGUUUCAUGGUUUCAGGUAUUAUAUUUAAAUCAUUAAUCCAUUUUGAGUUAAUUUCUGUGAGUGGUGUAAUAUACUGUUCCAGUUUCAUUCUUUUUCAUGUGAAUAUCCAAUAUCAUAGCAAUAUUUAUUAAAGAGACUGUCUUUUCUCCAUGUUUUCUUUGAUUUUUCUUGCCUUUCUUGUCAAAAUUAGUUGACCUUCUGGGCUCUCCAUUCUGUUCCAUUGGUCUAUCUGUCCUUUUUUAUGCCACUAUCAUACUUUUUUGAUGACUAAUGCUUUAUAAUAUAGCCUGGAACAGGAAGGGUAAUGCCCCCUACUUUGUUUUUCUUUCUCAUGAUUUCUUUGGCUGUUCAGGGCCUUUUGUGGUUCCAUGUAAAUUUUAGGAGUGUUCUUCCUUCUUCUGUAAAAACUGCCAUUGGAAUCUUAAUAGGGAUUGCACUGAAUCUACAGAUAGCUUUUGGUAGUACUGACACUAUAACAAUAUCACUUCUUCAAAUCCAUAUACAAAGGAUAUCCUACAUUUAUAUGAGUUUUCUUGGAUUUUUUCAUCAUUGUCUUAUAUAUUCCAGAAUAAAUAUCUUUCACUUCUUUAGUUUAAUUUAUUCCUGAUUUUUUUUUGAUGCUCCUGUAAAUAGUAUGAAGGUCUGUCUUUUUUUAUAAGAUUUUAUUUAUUUACUCAUGAGAGACACAGAGAGAGAGACAGAGACAUAGACAGAGGGAGAAAUAAGCAACCUGCAGGGAUCCUGAUGCAGGACUCGAUCCCAGG